UACGUAGGGUGCGAGCGUUGUCCGGAAUUAUUGGGCGUAAAGGGCUCGUAGGCGGCCAACUAAGUCCGACGUGAAAUCCCCAGGCUCAACCUGGGAACUGCGUCGGAUACUGGAUGGCUUGAAUUCGGGAGAGGGAUGCAGAAUUCCAGGUGUAGCGGUGAAAUGCGUAGAUAUCUGGAGGAAUACCGGUGGCGAAGGCGGCAUCCUGGACCGACAUUGACGCUGAGGCGCGAAAGCUAGGGGAGCAAACGGG
rnacentral:rRNA from 1 species